rnacentral:rRNA from 1 species
UACAGAGGGUGCGAGCGUUAAUCGGAAUUACUGGGCGUAAAGCGUGCGUAGACGGUUAUUUAAGUCAGAUGUGAAAGCCCCGGGCUCAACCUGGGAAUUGCAUUUGAGACUGAAUAGCUAGGGUGCGGUAGAGGGAAGCGGAAUUUCCGGUGUAGCGGUGAAAUGCGUAGAUAUCGGAAGGAACACCAGUGGCGAAAAGCGGCUUCCUGGUCCAGCACCGACGUUCAGGCACGAAAGCGUGGGGAGCAAACAGG